rnacentral:rRNA from 1 species
CGUGUAGGCGGCUUGGUAAGUCGGAUGUGAAAUCCCGGGGCCCAACCCCGGAACUGCAUUCGAAACUGCCUCGCUAGAGUCCCGGAGAGGAAGGCGGAAUUCCCGGUGUAGAGGUGAAAUUCGUAGAUAUCGGGAGGAACACCAGUGGCGAAGGCGGCCUUCUGGACGGUGACUGACGCUGAGACGCGAAAGCGUGGGGAGCAAACAGGAUUAGAUACCCUGGUAGUCC